AUUCCAGCUCCAAUAGCGUAUAUUAAUGUUGUUGCAGUUAAAAAGCUCGUAGUUGAAUUUCUGGUUAAAAUCUUAGCUGGCUUUGGUCGUUAAUGUUUUAAUCAUCCGUUAGAGAACUAUAACCGUCCUUAACUGGUCAUUAUAGAGAUCUAACAUUUUACUUUGAAAAAAUUAGAGUGUUCAAGGCAGGCAAUCGUCAUGAAUACUAUAGCAUGGAAUAAUGGAAUAGGACUUUGGUUCAUUUUAUUGGUUAUUGAACCUUAGUAAUGAUUAAUAGGGAUAGUUGGGGGCAUUAGUACUUUGCUGUCAGAGGUGAAAUUCUCGGAUUUAUGAAAGACUAACUACUGCGAAAGCAUUUGCCAAGGAUGUUUUCAUCG
rnacentral:rRNA from 1 species